CCUUUGUAUUGUAGAUGGGGAAAGAUGUUGUGUCAUUCUUGUCAUGGGCAGCUGAACCAGAAAUGGAAGAAAGGAAACUGAUGGGAUUCAAAUGGAUCUUCGUGCUCUCUUUGGCUCUACUUCAGGCCGCAUACUACCGCCGAUUGAAGUGGUCAGUUUUGAAGUCCCGCAAGCUGGUUCUUGAUGU